rnacentral:rRNA from 1 species
UAGGGAAUCUUCCACAAUGGACGAAAGUCUGAUGGAGCAACGCCGCGUGAGUGAUGAAGGGUUUCGGCUCGUAAAACUCUGUUGUUGGAGAAGAACAGGUGAUAGAGUAACUGUUAUCAUCUUGACGGUAUCCAACCAGAAAGCCACGGCUAACUACGUGCCAGCAGCCGCGGUAAUACGUAGGUGGCAAGCGUUGUCCGGAUUUAUUGGGCGUAAAGCGAGCGCAGGCGGUUUUUUAGGUCUGAUGUGAAAGCCUUCGGCUUAACCGGAGAAGGGCAUCGGAAACCGGGAGACUUGAGUGCAGAAGAGGACAGUGGAACUCCAUGUGUAGCGGUGAAAUGCGUAGAUAUAUGGAAGAACACCAGUGGCGAAGGCGGCUGUCUGGUCUGUAACUGACGCUGAGGCUCGAAAGCAUGGGUAGCGAACAGGAUUAGAUACCCUGGUAG